rnacentral:rRNA from 1 species
UACGUAGGGUGCGAGCGUUGUCCGGAAUUAUUGGGCGUAAAGGGCUCGUAGGCGGUUUGUCGCGUCGGGAGUGAAAUCCACUGGCUUAACUGGUGGCUUGCUUUCGAUACGGGCAGACUGGAGGUAUGCAGGGGAGAACGGAAUUCCUGGUGUAGCGGUGAAAUGCGCAGAUAUCAGGAGGAACACCGGUGGCGAAGGCGGUUCUCUGGGCAUGUCCUGACGCUGGGGAGCGAAAGUGUGGGGAGCGAACAGG